rnacentral:misc_RNA from 1 species
AUUGGCUCCAUUAACAGAUGCCGACUCCCCAUUAAUAAAUUGAACCUCCUCCUCCACCACCUCGAUCUCCGAUGACAUUUUCUUGUAUAAGAAAUUGAGAAUACAGAAAAGUGAAAAGGAAUUAGGAAUGAUUUGAUGAGAUAAAUUGAAAUUGGAAUUCAAUUGGUAAGAGAAUAAGAUGCCCUGGGGUUUUUCUUGGAAGAAGAGGAAGAUAGCGAGAGAGAGAGAGAGAGA